CCUACUGUGUGCUGCAGUGAGGAAUAUUGGUCAAUGGUCGGGAGACUGAACCAGCCAAGCCGCGUGAGGGAUGAAGGUCCAGCGUAUCGUAAACCUCUUUUGUCAGGGAACACAGGCGGGUACGUGUCCCCGGCUGAGUGUACCUGAAGAACAAGCAUCGGCUAACUCCGUGCCAGCAGCCGCGGUAAUACGGAGGAUGCGAGCGUUCUCCGGAUUUAUUGGGUUUAAAGGGUGCGCAGGCGGUCUGUUAAGUCAGCGGUCAAAGCCCGGGGCUCAACCCCGGCCCGCCGUUGAAACUGGCAGUCUCGAGUUGGAGAGAAGUAUGCGGAAUGCGCGGUGUAGCGGUGAAAUGCAUAGAUAUCGCGCAGAACUCCGAUUGCGAAGGCAGCAUGCCGGCUCCAAACUGACGCUGAGGCACGAAAGCGUGGGUAUCGAACAGGAUUAGAUACCCGGGUAGUC
rnacentral:rRNA from 1 species